rnacentral:rRNA from 1 species
CAGUCGCCGCGGGAAUACGUAGGUCCCGAGCGUUGUCCGGAUUUAUUGGGCGCAAAGCGAGCGCAGGCGGUUAGAUAAGUCUGAAGUUAAAGGCUGUGGCUUAACCAUAGUACGCUUUGGAAACUGUUUAACUUGAGUGCAAGAGGGGAGAGUGGAAUUCCAUGUGUAGCGGUGAAAUGCGUAGAUAUAUGGAGGAACACCGGUGGCGAAAGCGGCUCUCUGGCUUGUAACUGACGCUGAGGCUCGAAAGCGUGGGGAGCAAACAGGAUUAGAUACCCCGGUAGUCCCUGUCUCUUAUACA